rnacentral:rRNA from 1 species
GAUGAACGCUGGCGGCGUGCUUAACACAUGCAAGUCGAACGGGAAUUAUUUUAUUGAAACUUCGGUCGAUUUAAUUUAAUUCUAGUGGCGGACGGGUGAGUAACGCGUGGGUAACCUGCCUUAUACAGGGGGAUAACAGUCAGAAAUGGCUGCUAAUACCGCAUAAGCGCACAGAGCUGCAUGGCUCAGUGUGAAAAACUCCGGUGGUAUAAGAUGGACCCGCGUUGGAUUAGCUGGUUGGUGGGGUAACGGCCCACCAAGGCGACGAUCCAUAGCCGGCCUGAGAGGGUGAACGGCCACAUUGGGACUGAGGCACGGCCCAGACUCCUACGGGAGGCAGCAGUGGGGAAUAUUGCACAAUGGGGGAAACCCUGAUGCAGCGACGCCGCGUGAAGGAAGAAGUAUCUCGGUAUGUAAACUUCUAUCAGCAGGGAAGAUAGUGACGGUACCUGACUAAGAAGCCCCGGCUAACUACGUG